rnacentral:rRNA from 1 species
GUGCCAGCAGCCGCGGUAAUACGUAGGGGGCGAGCGUUGUCCGGAUUUAUUGGGCGUAAAGAGCUCGUAGGCGGUUCAACAAGUCGGUCGUGAAAGUUCAGGGCUCAACCCUGAAAUGUCGAUCGAUACUGUUGUGACUAGGAUACGGUAGAGGUGAGUGGAAUUCCGAGUGUAGCGGUGAAAUGCGUAGAUAUUCGGAGGAACACCAAUUGCGAAGGCAGCUCACUGGGCCGCUAUCGACGCUGAGGUGCGAAAGCGUGGGGAGCAAACAGGAUUAGAUA